CAGUUAGUUAUUAAUCCCCAGG
rnacentral:miRNA from 19 species